AGAUCACGCCAAUCAAAAUUGAUAACUUUGACUGAGCUUGUCUCAUGAAGGUAGUGAUUGCUCUUCUAUUGUAAGUAAUCUAUUGGCUUCUUAAAGAUGAAUUGGAACCUUGCUUUCUACUGCCUGCGAUUGUUAAUCACGUGUUGUUGUGCUGGUGCAUGACUUUGGAUUGUCCAUGCGCAUCAUUGUAUGUUCAUCCUGCUUGUAUACUUGGCCGAAUUCCAAGUAUGAGAAUUGGCUUAAUGAUGCAAUGGCGUCAAUUACCUGUCAUGGUUGAAUAUGAUGGUCGAAUUGCCCCUCAUUCUUGAAAUUGAUUUGAUCAUCGCAUUCCAGCUGCAAUUGUGCACUUUUGGUUCCACUGAGCUUCAUGGCUUUUUGCGUGACCUUCUAUCUUUCGCUAAGCAUGAUUUUUUUUUUUUGAUCGAAACAUAUAAGUAUUAUUUAUGCAUUCGUCAAAGUACAUCCCGACACUAUUGCAUCAGCAACAACAAGAUCCUGCAAAAUGUAAGGAGUAAAGAUGUUCCAAUUAUGGGCUAGGUCAAGUCUGCCAUGGGCCUUGGCGGCCCAGUCGGCUGCUCCAUUGGCCUCCCUGCAACAAAACUGCAAACGUACGCUAGGGUAUUCGGGGAGCAGAGCUGCAAUUUCAUUAAAGAGCGAUCUUUCUUCCCAUGGUGACUUCUUCUUCCCGUGGACGAUAUCGACCAAGAUCUAACAGUCAGAUUCGAUUACUAUCUUUCCCGUGUAGAUGCCUUGAUUCCUCAGAUGAUGCAGAGUGAAGGUGAGCGCUUGAACUUCCGAUUGAAAUGCUGAGGCUGCUGGAAACCGUUUGGUGUAGACAUCUGUUAGGAUACCCUGAUGAUUUCGACUAACACAUGCCAUCAUUCCUUCUUGGCUACCUGGGUAGUAAGAUCCGUCGAUAUUGCAUUUGAGGAAGUCGCAUUCUGGAGGUUUCCACAGAUGGACGGUGUCAACAGUAGCCACCCCUGUUUUGGAUCUGCCUGUGCUAGAGCUGCUCACAACUGAGGAAGAUCGGAGGCUGGACAGGGCAAGGGCGUCGUCCACUGCUCGAUGGGGAUCCGAUGGUCUGUGGCGAAAAAUCCAGCUGUUGCGCAUACACCAGACUUGCCACAAGAUCUGCGCUAUUGUUGCCAAACCAAGUAUGAGCCUUUGAUUUGUUGCUCGUUCCGUGAUCCAUACAUCAAUCCUCUGUAUUGUAGUAGAUGAGACUGAAAUGUUAACCUUAGGGUGCUUCCAUACGUCGAUCGUCCAUGGAUAGAAAAAGAACAGAUGUUCAAUUGUUUCAGGGGUCCUGAGAUUACAUAGACUGCAUAUGGGAGAGGGAGAAAUGUGUCGAUGAAACAAAUUAGCCUUAGUUGCAAGGGCAUUAUGACAAAGUGACCACAUAAAAGUGCGAAUUUUGGGCUCUGUAUGCAUAGACCAGAUCUUGCGCCACAAUAUUUGUGGGUUCUGAUGUGAUGAAGAUGCCUGGGGAACCGUUGAUGUGCGUGUCAUGCUAACCACUGAUCUAUAAUUACUCUUUACCGUGUGAUUUCCAUCCUUGGUAGGCAUCCAAACUAACAUAUCUUUAGCAUAGGCAAGUCGUAUAGAAAUUUUAACAAUUUCGGUGCUUACUAGAGUAUCGAAUAGCUAUUGAAUCAGAGGAAGAUUCCAUGUUUGGGUGAGAGGAUCAAUAAGAUUGGCCAGCCGUUCUGGCUCCUCCCUGGUUACCAGUCCACCUAUUGUGCCGAUAGGUAGCCACUUAUCUUCCCGAAUCCUUAUAUUCAUGCCAUCCCCAACCGACCAACUGAUAUGAGGUAGGAUGGCCUCUCGGCCGAGAAGGAGACUCUACCAUCCCCAUGAAGGUCGUGAACCUCUAGCUGCCUUUUGGAAAUUCACCGAACGAAAAUACAACCCCUUAAAAACUUGACCCCACAACGAGCCAGGUUGGUGGAUUAGUCGCCAAGCCUGCUGCCCAAGCAUCGCUUUGUUGAAAGCCAUCAAAUCUCGAAAUCCGAGCCCUCCACCAUCCUUAUCAGUUUUUAGCAAAUCUCAUUUCUUCCAAUGCACACCAACCUUGUUUGGGUCAGUUUUCCACCAAAAUCUGGAAAUUUUCUGUUCAAUAAGUUUACACAAAGAUGUUGGCAACUUGAAAACAGACAUAGCAUAUUGAGGAAUUGCCUGUACAACCGAUUUAAUUAGGAUCUCCUUUCCGCCCUUAGACAGGAAUCUUUCUUUCCAGCCCUCAAGUUUUGAAUGUAGUCUCCCUAAUAUCCAACCAAACAUCUCCCUUUUAGAUUUACCCCACUCGGACGGAAUACCUAAAUAUUUACCAUACUGAUGUAACACCGACAUUCUAAAAAUACCCGCCAAGUUUUCUUGUAAGGUGAUCGGACAGUUUUUGCUGAAAAAUAGGCCUGAUUUGUUCCGAUUUAUAACUUGGCCCGUUGCCAUACAAUAUUGGGUAAGAAUAUUAGCAAGAUUCUGACAUUCCAUCAAAGUGCCCUUGAGAAAGAAAACGGAAUCAUCAGCAAAAAAGAGAUGCGAUAGUGUCGGGCAUGAGUUGUUCAGCUUUAUACCUGUAAGAUGGCCAAUGUGAAUCGCUUGGUGAAUGAGAGUGGAUAGAAGAUUCUUCAGUAAUAUGAAUAUAUAAGGGGAAAGCGGGUCGCCUUGUCGGAGUCCUCUUGAUGGCUGAAAAUAUGAAAGUUGUUCUCCAUUAAAGCGAACACUGAAAGAGGCUGUGGUUAUGCAUUGCAUUAGUAGCUUCACCCAUUGGGAAUGAAAUCCCAAUCGUAGUAGAUAGUCCUGUAGAAAAUCCCAUUCAACUUUGUCAUAAGCCUUUUGCAUAUCUGUCUUGAGGAGUACAUUAAAGUGUUUCUUCCUUUCCCUCUUUCGAAAUUGAUGUAGUACCUCUUGUACAAUGAAGACAUUAUCCUGUAUUUGUCUCCCACUAACAAAAGCAGCCUGCUCUUCUGAAAUAAGCUCACAAAGCCAUGGUUUCAGUCGAUUGGCCAAUACCUUGGAUAUAAUCUUAUAUGCGUAGUUACAGAGGCUGAUAGGUCAAGGUUUUCAGGAUGAGUGGUCUUAGGAAUGAGAGCAAUGAUGGUCUUGUUAAUGUCUUUAGGCAACACCCCGGAGCGGAAGAAUUCCGUGACUAAGUUAAGCAAAUCAUCUUGGAGGAUAUCCCAGUGGGCUUGGUAAAACAGGCCAUUUAACCCAUAAGGACCCGGUGAUUUGGAUUUCCCCAGCUGAAAGGCUGCUUGUUUCACCUCAGAGGCAAUGACUGGACUCAUCAAAUUAUCAUUCAUAUCAGCCGAUACAAUCUGUGGACACUGAUCCAGAAUUGGAGCAUAGUUACAAGGGCCUCCUGUUGUAUAUAACUGUGAGAAGUAAGCAUUUGUUAGCUCCUUCAAGGCCUGAUUGUCCCUCACCCAGUUGUGAGUCUCGUCUUGUAACAUGCCUAUCCUAUUUCUCUGUCGUCGUUGAAUCGUAGUUGCAUGAAAAAAUUUGGUAUUCUUAUCCCCCCAUCGCAACCAGUUUAUUCUAGAGUGCAUAGCCCAGUACUUUUCUUCUUGCUGCCAUAUAGUUUUAAGCAUGAUUUGAAUCCGCUUUUAUCAUCACAGAAAGGGCUACUGUUAACAGCAGGCCGCAACAAGUUCGGCGCCUUUGCAUUUUAAUAAUACAACAGGAUAGAAGAAAUUAGAGCCCAUAUCUAUCGGGCGAAACUCUUAAGAGAUCGUGGCAAGGGUAUGCUGGGAUUGAGAUGAAUGAAGCCCCAAAUCUAGCACACAUACACGGACGACUUCUGGGGUUCCUAGAGGCUGGUCCUUCUGGAAACGAUACAGGGCUUUGUAACCGAUUGGAUUCAGUGUUGCUUACGCCAUUCUCGAUCUGUUCUUUCACUUACCAAGGUUGACAAAAC
rnacentral:lncRNA from 1 species